UACGGAGGGUGCAAGCGUUAUCCGGAUUCACUGGGUUUAAAGGGUGCGUAGGAGGGCAGGUAAGUCAGUGGUGAAAUCUCCAAGCUUAACUUGGAAACUGCCGUUGAUACUAUCUGUCUUGAAUAUUGUGGAGGUGAGCGGAAUAUGUCAUGUAGCGGUGAAAUGCUUAGAUAUGACAUAGAACACCAAUUGCGAAGGCAGCUCACUACUCAAUCAUUGACUCUGAGGCACGAAAGCGUGGGGAUCAAAC
rnacentral:rRNA from 1 species